GGUUGGGGCCAGUCCUGAGAGCCAGCUCAGGUCCUGAUCAUCCUGGGCCCCAGACUUCUACACAUUGUCUGCCCUCCGAGUGUUAGCAUCUGCUGUUCUUCCCAAAGAGGCUGUUACCACCUGCCUGGAGAGAGGAAGGUCUGACUGAAGUGCGGUUGGCAGUAAUGGUCCCAUCCACCACUGAACUUAAGUAAUGAGUUAUAACCCCAGCUUUACCACAUGGGAACAUAGAUCUUCAAAGUCUAAAGACAUGUUAGAAGUUCACGUGUCUUCCUCCUCACCGUUUGAGGGUACAGAGUUGGGAAAUUGGAUGACCGUCAGCUCAGUGUUGGAUCGGCAGUUUCUCCAGAUCACAGACCCCAGUGCCAAACUAGCUUGAGACCCUGACUCUGUCCCACGCUAGAGUGUGGCCUGACAUUUUGUGCUUAAACUCCAAACCUGCUUCCUGAUCUAUAAAAUAGGGACCAUUGAGCAUUUUGGACGUGCCUGAGUGGCUCAGUCAGUUAAGUGUCUACCUUGGGCUCAGGUCAUGAUCUCAGGGUCCUGGGAUCGAGCCUCACAUCAGGCUCUCUGCUCAGCGGGGAGUCUGCUUCUCCCUCUGCCCCUCCUUCAACUCACGCGCACUCUCUCUCCAAAAUAAAUGAAUAAAAUCUUUUCAAAAAGAUGAAGAAAAAGCGGUGAGAAGACUACUCAGUAUGCAGUAUGUUCAAUGAAUCUGCACUAUUAUUUUCCCCAUGAGGUCAAGAUCCACUCAGUACCUUAUUACUCAACUCAGGAAUUCCAGGUCCCACUGCGUGCAGAAGGUGUGUGGCUGGAAGACCCACAGGAGGUGGAAACCGUGGCAGAAGGAGCAGAGCAUGUUGGAAUCGCAGGGCAGGAAGAACUGAGAUCCAGAGGGGAGAAAUGAUUCGAAAGAGGACUUGGAGAGCCUCCUGGGUGGCAAGGAGGGAGACCCCAUCUGCCCCUCUGAGCCUGGUCUCUGCACCUACCCGGGCACAGGGGCACUUACUGAGAAGAGCAGGAAGUCAUGACCAAAUGCAGAAGGUGAUCCAGCCGAAUCUCGCAGGACCUUUGAGCCAUCUUUCAAAUGUUGCUCACUCAGCCCUCCCGGAACUCUGCCCUGGGUGCCAGAGAGCCAUGCUUUGCUCUCCCCAGCCCCCUCGCACCCAGGCCUCUGGAUUUCCUGGGCAGCUCCCACCUCCAUCUGCUUCCAGCCCCACUGACUCAAGACCCCUGCCGUGCAGCAUCUUGUUCUUUCUCGUGGUUUCCUCUUCCAAGUGGUGGGCUGUGUCUCCAGAUUAUUUCCCCUUGUGGUUUCCAUCCACCCCUGUCCCUGCACGACCUGAGGUUCCACCGCCCGUGUCCCAGCCCCACCGAACUCAAAUCCAUCAGUAUCUUCUCUGCUAGACCUUCUCUCAGCUCCCAUGUUUAUUGGAGGGUGAAGAAACCUCAGGCGUGUAGAACCUCAGGAGGGUGUCGAAACCUGAGUUGGUAGAGUCCCUCGGUUGAGGACAGCACAGCAUCCUCACCGUGAAUCUCGUCCAGCGCAUUCUCCCCCUCUCUCUGCUCUGUUUCCGUCUCUCCCUCUCUGCCUCUCUCCAUCUCUCUGUGUGUCUCUCCCUCUCCAACUCCCUCUCUGCCACUCUGUCUCUCUCUGUGUCUCUCCAUCUCUGACUCCCUUUCUCUCUCUCCAUCUCCCUCUCUGCUGCUGUCCAUCUCUCUGUGUGUUUCUCCAUCUCUCUCUCUCUCUCUCUGCCUCCCUCCAUCUCCGUCUGUCUUCCUCACUGUCUUUCCCUCUUUCUGUCUCCCUUUCUAUUCCUUAUUCCAUUUUCAUUCCUUUCCCUCUUUUCCUCAGUGGCGUCCCUUGCUUCCUAGAUG